UACGGAGGGAGCUAGCGUUGUUCGGAAUUACUGGGCGUAAAGCGCGCGUAGGCGGCUUUGUAAGUUAGAGGUGAAAGCCCGGGGCUCAACCCCGGAAUUGCCUUUAAGACUGCAUCGCUUGAAUCCGGGAGAGGUGAGUGGAAUUCCGAGUGUAGAGGUGAAAUUCGUAGAUAUUCGGAAGAACACCAGUGGCGAAGGCGACACACUGGGCCAUUACUGACGCUGAGGCGCGAAAGCGUGGGGAGCAAACAGG
rnacentral:rRNA from 1 species